UAUUGAGGACAUAAGUUUGAAGAAUAUGAUGAGCCCCCUGUUUUUGGAAAGAGGACUAUAUUUGGUGCCCUUCCAUCUGGGAGACAGGAGCAAUGGGCCCAGUGCGAAGAUUGCUCCAAAUGGCGAAGGUUACUCAUUGAUGUUCUCC